CUGCCAUCUCAACUUCCUUGUUGAUAAUCAAUUGCCCAGGGUGUUCACUUAAUUGAGAAAGCUUCCCCCGUCUCAUAGUCCCAGUAUGAUAUCCUCCACCAUUGGUUAAAUUUGCUUUUGUCGUUUCAUCUGUAGUAUCACGUUUAACAUGCAGACCUUUCUUGCCAGGAGAAUAAUUAUUCAGCACCUCAUUCUGUGGGAUGACAGGAAGAUAACCAGGAGCAUCUCCAUCACUGACAAUAUUGAUGCUUGAAUCCUCUUCAUUUGCUCCAAUUGUAAUAGUGCCAGAGCCAAGGUGAUCUCCCUGCCUCUGAAGUCGAACUUGUGACCUUUUCAAAUCCUCUUGAACAUGAACAUAAUGCUUAUGUGCUUUGACAAACUUCUUGAUUUUUGAAAUGGUUCUUUUACACUCCUCUUUUUCUUUGGACAAUUGACAAUCAAGCUCCUGAAUUCUGGAAGUUAGAAUAUCUGCUUCUUCAACUUUCUCUUCUACUAAGGU
rnacentral:misc_RNA from 1 species